GGAAAUGACGUGUUUGAAGACUUAAUCAAUGUCAUGGUGAAAGUCAAGUGUCAGCAAUCAGUCAGUCAGCCGAGUGUGCAACCAGCUUUCUUUGCAACUUUGACUAAAUCCGUUUCACUAGGUACAAAUUCUGUACUGAAACUUGAUCGUGUAGUGACAAAUAUAGGAAAAGGAUAUGACGCAGGCUCUGGAGUCUUUACAGUUGGUAAAUCAGGAUUGUAUGAAUUUGCUGCUAAUUUCAUCUCGAAUGGUGACAACUGGCUCGAGUUAAAUUUAAUGAAAAAUAACGAUUUCGUAGUAAAAGGUCAUUCAGCAAAGGCUCAUGGUACAGCAGGUUCACUUCAGGCCAUAUUACAAAUUGAGGACUGCUCUUUCAAAGUAUGAACUAACAACGGCUGAAAAACUGAUAGAAACUGUUCUUACUAUAAAAAGAAAUGGAAAGUUAUUGUUAAACAAGCAAUUCGAUUUUUUUUGGAAAUGACAUGGAACUAAGGAAAAUUUGAAAAAUCAGCAAUGAAAUUUAAACACGUAAAACACAACCCCGUAAAAAAAACUCAUGAAACCUAGAAAACUCUGCAAAUACUGUAUAAGAAGUAUAAAAAAAAGCUUAACUUAAAGCAAAGCUAGCGACAAGAAUGUAUACGCUUCAACAUGACAAGG